UCAGUGGUGGUUCAGUGAUAGAAUUCUCCGCCUUCCGUGUAGAAGACCCAGGUUUGAUUCCUGGCCAGUGCA
rnacentral:tRNA from 1 species